GACGAACGCUGGCGGCGUGCUUAACACAUGCAAGUCGAACGGUGAAGGGACCGGUUUUUGCUGGUUCUGGAUGAGUGGCGAACGGGUGAGUAACACGUGAGUAACCUGCCCCCUUCUUCUGGAUAACCGCAUGAAAGUGUGGCUAAUACGGGAUAUUCUGCGCCUGCUGCAUGGUGGGUGUGGGAAAGAUAUUGUUUCGGUGGGGGAUGGGCUCGCGGCCUAUCAGCUUGUUGGUGGGGUGAUGGCCUACCAAGGCGGUGACGGGUAGCCGGCCUGAGAGGGUGGACGGUCACACUGGGACUGAGACACGGCCCAGACUCCUACGGGAGGCAGCAGUGGGGAAGAUUGCACAAUGGGCGCAAGCCUGAUGCAGCGACGCCGCGUGAGGGAUGGAGGCCUUCGGGUUGUAAACCUCUUUCGCCAGUGAAGCAGGCCUGUCCCUUUUGUGGGUGGGUUGACGGUAGCUGGAUAAGAAGCGCCGGCUAACUACGU
rnacentral:rRNA from 1 species